GAUGAACGCUGGCGGCGUGCCUAAUACAUGCAAGUCGAGCGAACGGACGAGAAGCUUGCUUCUCUGAUGUUAGCGGCGGACGGGUGAGUAACACGUGGAUAACCUACCUAUAAGACUGGGAUAACUUCGGGAAACCGGAGCUAAUACCGGAUAAUAUUUUGAACCGCAUGGUUCAAAAGUGAAAGACGGUCUUGCUGUCACUUAUAGGUGGAUCCGCGCUGCAUUAGCUAGUUGGUAAGGUAACGGCUUACCAAGGCAACGAUGCAUAGCCGACCUGAGAGGGUGAUCGGCCACACUGAACUGAGACACGGUCCAGACUCCUACGGGAGGCAGCAGUAGGGAAUCUUCCGCAAUGGGCGAAAGCCUGACGGAGCAACGCCGAGUGAGUGAUGAAGGUCUUCGGAUCGUAAAACUCUGUUAUUAGGGAAGAACAUAUGUGUAAGUAACUGUGCACAUCUUGACGGUACCUAAUCAGAAAGCCACGGCUAACUACGUG
rnacentral:rRNA from 1 species